CAUUGAGGGUGAUUUCAAAAGCACCUGUAGACAUACACUGAUUCUCGAUCAUAUUGCUGAAGAAGAACACCAUCAUACAGGCAUAUAUCUAAAAAAAAAAAAAAAAAUUAUAAUAAUAAUAAAAUAAAUAAAUAAUAGAAAAAAAUGUAAACACGCAUUGCUGCAGAUAUUUUGUUUGUACAUACUUGAAUACUUUAUUUUGUGGAUAGUUUAUAUGAAACGUGUGUGCUACUUUUUUCACACUGAAACAUACACAAAAUAAUAGUAAAAUAAAUAAAAUGUAAAGAAUGCUGAAGCUUUUCUUCUGUACUUUUAAAGGGAUACUCCACCCCCAAAAUGAAAAUUUUGUCAUUAAUCACUUACCCCCAUGUCGUUCCAAACCCGUAAAAGCUCUGUUUGUCUUCGAAACACAAUUUAAGAUAUUUUAGAUGAAAACCGGGAGGCUUGAGACUGUCCCAUAGACUGCCAAGUAAAUAACAGUGUUAAGGUCCAUAAAAGGUAUGAAAGUCGUCUUCAGAAUACUCCAUCUGCCAUGAGACGUGCAAUCUGGGUUAUAUGAAGCGACGGGAACACUUUUUGUAAGCAAAGAAAACUAAAAUAACGACUUUAUUCAACAAUUCCUUUGUCAACGGUCUCCUCUGUGUCUCUCCAUAUCACUGUAUGCUCUUUUGUAUCAUCUGCAUAUCAAAUCAAAGCUAAAUACACCUGGAAACAGUGCAUCCUUGUGGCGCAGAUGAUACAGUCACAGGCCUCCAGGUUUUCAUCCAAAAUAUCUUAAAUUGUGUUCUGAAGAUGAACGGUGCUUUUACGGCUUUGGAACGACAUGGGGGUAAGUGAUUAAUGACAAAAUUUUCAUUUUGGGGUGGAGUAUCACUUUAAGACCACAUGAAAUAAAAAUUUACAAACUUCAUUUUGUUAGCACUCAUUGCUAGUCUUGAGUUGAUCCGCUGAAAAAAAUUGUUUGUCUUGGUAAUCUUUCAUCAAAAUCUGAAUAUUUGCUUCCGCUCUGGAAUGGCAUUCAUUCCUUCUCUCUUUAAUAUUCUGUUUCAGUCAGAAAUAUGUCACUAUACUGAAAGUCGGCAACAGCUUCUGGUUCACAUGCCUAAAUUUCAGAAAUAGUGCAGAAAGAGUCAGGUGAACAUUAACACAUGAGCUUGCUCUUUGCUCUCUAGUGUAUUACACUCUUCAAUAACCACAGACGUCACUGAGGUAAACAAAGUUACAAACUAAUGAGCUCCAUGGGGAAAAAGUUUGUAUUUGGAACCUACUACUCAGAUAUAUUUCAGUUAAGAACAAGAAUCUAAACCACUAAAUGAAAAAAAUCUCAACAGGAGAAGUCUGAGGUCUUGCCUUAUUCUCUUGACUCCAAACCCAGAGACCUGGGGCCUGCAUGCCAAAUAGAGCAAAUGGAUCCUUGCCCACAAUGAUCACGCCGAUUAGCAACAGCUUAAACAUAGACAGAAAGGAAGCAAUGUGCCUUGGGGUGAAGAAAAAAAAAAGACACUAUAUAAAUAAAUAUUUCAUACACAAAUACAUGCACAUACAUACACUAGUAGAAUUAGUAGCAUUAUUGUUUGUAGAAGUGUUGCUGGUCUUUGUCUUUUUACAGAAACACUAAAUGACCAACAAUGCCUCAAGCACCAUGCAGCCCAUUAUUCUUUACAAUUAUUUUAAUAUAAAAUGUAUUCCUUUGAUGCAAAGCUGAAUUUUUCGCAUCAUUAGUCUUAUAUUAUUCAAUGUCACAUGAUCCUUCAGAAAUCAUUCUAAUAUGCUGAUUUUCUGCUCAGUUAUUAAUAUUUAAUAUGGUUCUUAUUAUAAUCAGUUAAAAACCAUUUUUUGCUGCUUAAUAUUUUGUGGAAACAUUUUUCAGGUUUUUUUUUUUUUUUUUUUGAAGAAUAGAAAGUUCACAAUAACAGCCUUUUUUUUAAAAUAUAUAAUCUUUUGUAACAUUAUACGUUUUACUAUCUCUUUUGAUCCAUAAUGAAUAUUUGCUGAAUAAAAGCAUUAAUUUCUAUAAACAACACACACACCUCAAACAUUUGAAUGGCAGUAUAUAAUGGUUUCUGCAAAAAUAUUAAGCAGUGCAACUGAUUUUAGUAUUAAUAAUAAUAAUAAAAAAAGUGUUUCUUUAGCAGCAAACCAGCAUAUUAGAAUGAUUUCUGAAAGAUCAUGUGAAAAAAGAAAAGAAAAAACUAUUUACCAUCAAAUAAAUUAUUUACAUUUUUAAAACAUUACAAUAGAAUACAGUUAUUUUAAAUUGUAAUACUAUUUUACAAUAUUAGUGUGUUUAUUUUAUUUGUGAGCACAUAACUGCAGCAUUGGUGAGCACAAGAGACUUCAUAAAAACACUUAAAAAUCAUAAUAUUUCCAAACUUUUGGAAGUCAGUGGUGAUUAUUUUGCAAAGACGUGCGAGUGUGUGUGUGGCCACAAGGGUAGAAGACAUGUAAGUGGUUUGUAAGUGAUUACCUGUAGACAGGCAGAGGAAGGUAGUUCUCUCCUUCUAUGCG
ensembl:lncRNA